rnacentral:rRNA from 1 species
GAUGAACGCUGGCGGCGUGCCUAAUACAUGCAAGUCGAGCGAACAGACGAGGAGCUUGCUCCUCUGACGUUAGCGGCGGACGGGUGAGUAACACGUGGAUAACCUACCUAUAAGACUGGGAUAACUUCGGGAAACCGGAGCUAAUACCGGAUAAUAUAUUGAACCGCAUGGUUCAAUAGUGAAAGACGGUUUUGCGGUCACUUAUAGAUGGAUCCGCGCCGCAUUAGCUAGUUGGUACGGUAACGGCUUACCAAGGCGACGAUGCGUAGCCGAACUGUGAGGGUGAUAGGCCACACUGGAACGGAGACACGGUCCAGACGACUACGAUAGGCAGCAGUAGGGAAUCUUCGGCAAUGGGCGAAAGCCUGACGGAGCAACGCCGCGUGAGUGAUGACAGUCUUCGGAUCGUAAAGCUCUGUUAUUAGGGAAGAACAAAUGUGUAAGUAACCAUGCACGUCUUGACGGUACCUAAUCAGAAAGCCACGGCUAACUACGUG